rnacentral:lncRNA from 1 species
UGAAUGAAAUACGAAAGCUUGAGCAAAGACAGAAACAGCUUGGUGAUGAGGCAAAUCGAGCACUUGAAGUACUGCUUGAGGAGGUAGCUUUGCAUCAGCUGGGAAAUAAAGAAACCGCUGAAACUACAGCAAGGCUUCUGUCUGAAAUAAAGGAAAUACAAGCCGUUAGAUCCAUUUCAGAAGAAUCUGUGACUGCUGAAAGGGCCAACUUGAAAGAUGAGAUCAGUCGAUGGCAAACUCAGGCAGAAGAUAUUAAAUCUUUAGAAAGGAAGCUUGAGAAUGUUCAGAAAUCAAUAGACCAGGUGGUUGUUUCAUUUUCAAAUAGUGAGGAAAAUUAAGAAUGCAAGGCCCCGUCGAAAAAGAAAAAGAUCCUUCCUUUCAACUUGAGAAACAGUCCAAACAUGCAGCAUCCAAUUCGUUCCCCUUGCUCACCUCUGAACCCUUCUCGUAGAGUGAUGGAUUAUGAGACUGAGAACAAGGCGCCGGAGAACAACAUGCAACUCCUAGUGAUGACACAGUGGCUGGGAGUGGUAAAGUUACUUCACCAAAGAGUGAUGAAAAUGGUACCCGUAAAUCAUCCAAAGAGGGAAGUUCUGUUGUGCAGCAUUCAAGCACAGUUAUG